UAUUGGACAAUGGGCGAAAGCCUGAUCCAGCCAUGCCGCGUGUGUGAAGAAGGUCUUCGGAUUGUAAAGCACUUUAAGUUGGGAGGAAGGGUUGUAACCUAAUACGUUGCAAUUUUGACGUUACCGACAGAAUAAGCACCGGCUAACUUCGUGCCAGCAGCCGCGGUAAUACGAAGGGUGCAAGCGUUAAUCGGAAUUACUGGGCGUAAAGCGCGCGUAGGUGGUUCAGUAAGUUGGAAGUGAAAUCCCCGGGCUCAACCUGGGAACUGCUUUCAAAACUGCUGAGCUAGAGUAUGGCAGAGGGUGGUGGAAUUUCCUGUGUAGCGGUGAAAUGCGUAGAUAUAGGAAGGAACACCAGUGGCGAAGGCGACCACCUGGGCUAAUACUGACACUGAGGUGCGAAAGCGUGGGGAGCAAACAGG
rnacentral:rRNA from 1 species